ACCUAGCUGGCUCAGUUGUUAGAGUAUGUGAUUUCUGAUCACAAGGUCAUGAGUUCAAGCCCCACAUUGGGCA
rnacentral:tRNA from 1 species